AGUUCGAAGGCUUCGAGGCUGCUCCCAUACGCACUGGUGGAAGGAGAGGCCGCGCUCCCGGCUGAGCACGGUGUCACGGGUGCUGCAGCCCACUGCGGAGCAACUUCGGGUCAUCUUCUUGUUACGUGGGGCCCCACCUUCGGGGUUCCCGCGACAGCAUGAAUCACGACCACUUUAGCUCCGCCCGUUGACUCUGCGGCUACGACCUUUAUUUGUCACGAAAGGCGGGCUUUAGAGGCGCGGGACUUCCACACUUCCUCUCCGAAGGCCCUGCGCCGGUGCCGUAGCCAAUGACAGGCCACGUUGUGUCCCAGCAGCCAAUCGGAAGGGCCUGAGCCUGAAGACGUGCAUUUGACCGCUCCUCCCUCCGCGUUGGAGGCGGAAUAGUGGGUUUUGCUGCAACCGGUUUAUUUUCCUUCUGUUUUCACCCAUUCUGGCACAAUCUGGCGCCAUCGUCCUUCUUGUGAGGCCAAGCCUGAAAAUGCGAAGCAGAGAGGCAGGACCAAAAUUGAGGCGAAUCCAGGAACCUGCCAAUGGGUCUCCGGGUGCGGUCUCUGAAACUGGAGGAUAUCGGGAGGAAAGGCUCUCCGAUGCGGAGAUAAUGGGGAAGCUCUUGGCAUGGUUGGCUGUAGGUAUGUGAUACCGGAGGAGCAGGAGUCAAAUAGGAUACGCCGACUUUUAAUUCAAGGAACCCUUUUCUGAAACACUUUGCCACAAUGAAGGAAAUAAGGAAUAAAAUUGAAGGGUGUUUUUCUUAGAGAACAUCAUUUGUCAUAUUUAUUUGAUCAAGAAGUUGAAGAUUUAUAUAAUAAGGAUCUAGUUUGAAGCACUAAGAAGAAUAAGACAUCAGUUUGAAAAGAGGCUCUAUCAGAACAACACGAAUUCUGCUAAAAUUGAAGCAAGAACAAACAUCAAAUAUAUGUUGACACUUGGGUGGAAGAAUGGUGAACUAAUUGAUGCUUUAUGAAAAGUUGAUAGGGACAGUGCUCCAAAGAAAUCAGUUUACAAAUGGAUAACUCGUUUUAAGAAGGCAUAAGGUAAUGUUGAAGAAGAAGCCCACAGUGGCAGAUCAUCCACAUCAGUUUGUGAGAAAAAAGUUAGUUCAUGGCGUAAUUGAAGAAAACCAACAAUUAACAGCAGAAACAACAGCCAACACCAUAGACAUCUCAGUUGGUUCACCUUACACAAUUUUGACUGGAAAAGUUCAGCAAACUUUAUACCUGAUAGGUACCAAAACCAUUGCACCCAGAUCAGCUACAGACAAGAAUAGAGCUUUCAAUGGAAAUUUUAAAUAAGUGGGAUCAGGAUCUUGAAGCCUUUCAUUGAAAAAUUGUAACAGGAGAUGAAACAUGGCUUUACCAGCGCAAUCCUGAAGACAAAACACAAAGCAGUGGUUACCAAGAUAAGUAGUUCAGUUAAAGCACAAGAGGACUGGUUGAGAGCAAAGGUCAUGGCAACAGCUUUUGAAUGCUCAAGGCAUUUUGCUUGUUGACUUUCUGUAGGGCCAAAGAAUGGUAACGUGCUUAUCAUGGGAGUGUUUUGAGAAACUUAGCCAAAGCUUCAGCAGAAAAAUCCCCGAGAAAGACCAGAGAGUUCUUCACCACAACAAUGUUCCUGCUCAUCCCUCUCAUCAAACAAGGCCAUUUUGCAAGAGUUUUGAUGGGAAAUCACUAGGCAUCCACCCUACAGUCCUGGUUUGGCACCUUCUGACUUUUUGUUUCCUAAUCUUAAAAAAAUUUUUCAGGGCAGUACAUUUUUCUCAAGUUAAUGUAUAAAGAAACUGCAUUGAUGUAGAUAAAUUCCCAGAACUCUCAGUUCUUUAGGGAUGGACUAAAUAGCUGGUAUCAUCACUUACAAAAGUGUCUUGAAUGCUAUAGAGCUAAUGUUCAAAAAUAUAGUUUAUAUUUUUUAUCUUUUAACCAUUUUUCCACAAACUUUUUGAAGUCUCCUUGAAUAUGUACCAUUUAUAAAGGGGAAAAAUUCUGUGACUACUCAUGUUGACUUAAUGCUGACUUAAUUUUCUGUUUUGUAAAUAUAUACAAACAAGUUGAUACAAAUUUUGUUUAUAGCCCUUAAACAAAUUUGUGAAAUAAAUGCAUUCAGAAACAAACUAAAACAAUGAAAUGGAUGCUACUGUUUUACUGAGGUGUAAGCAUAGUACUGGCUGCUAUGGAAAAAGUUACAUAAACAUUCAUGUAUCUUGUGAUGA
rnacentral:lncRNA from 10 species